GACGAACGCUGGCGGCGUGCCUAAUACAUGCAAGUAGAACGCUGAAGAGAGGAGCUUGCUCUUCUUGGAUGAGUUGCGAGCGGGUGAGUAACGCGUAGGUAACCUGCCUUGUAGCGGGGGAUAACUAUUGGAAACGAUAGCUAAUACCGCAUAACAAUGGAUGACCCAUGUCAUUUAUUUGAAAGGGGCAAAUGCUCCACUACAAGAUGGACCUGCGUUGUAUUAGCUAGUAGGUGAGGUAACGGCUCACCUAGGCGACGAUACAUAGCCGACCUGAGAGGGUGAUCGGCCACACUGGGACGGAGACACGGCCCAGAGGCCUACGGGAGGGAGCAGUAGGGAAUCGGCGGCAAGGGGGGCAACCCUGACCGAGCAACGCCGAGGGAGGGAAGAAGGUUGUCGGAUCGUAAAGCUCGGUUGUAAGUCAAGAACGAGUGUGAGAGUGGAAAGUUCACACUGUGACGGUAGCUGAACAGAAAGGGACGGCUAACUACGUG
rnacentral:rRNA from 1 species